rnacentral:rRNA from 1 species
UACGAAGGGUGCAAGCGUUACUCGGAAUUACUGGGCGUAAAGCGUGCGUAGGUGGUUCGUUAAGUCUGAUGUGAAAGCCCUGGGCUCAACCUGGGAAUGGCAUUGGAUACUGGCGACCUAGAGUGCGGUAGAGGCGAGUGGAAUUCCUGGUGUAGCGGUGGAAUGCGCAGAUAUCAGGAGGAACACCAAUAGCGAAGGCAGCUCGCUGGGACGGUACUGACGCUAAGGCGCGAAAGCGUGGGGAGCGAACAGG